rnacentral:rRNA from 1 species
AACGAACGCUGGCGGCAUGCCUAACACAUGCAAGUCGAACGAAGCUUUCGGGCUUAGUGGCGCACGGGUGCGUAACACGUGGGAAUCUGCCCUUCGGUUCGGAAUAACAGUUAGAAAUGACUGCUAAUACCGGAUGAUGACGUAAGUCCAAAGAUUUAUCGCCGAAGGAUGAGCCCGCGUAGGAUUAGGUAGUUGGUAGGGUAAUGGCCUACCAAGCCGACGAUCCUUAGCUGGUCUGAGAGGAUGAUCAGCCACACUGGGACUGAGACACGGCCCAGACUCCUACGGGAGGCAGCAGUGGGGAAUAUUGGACAAUGGGCGAAAGCCUGAUCCAGCAAUGCCGCGUGAGUGAUGAAGG